CUUUAAACCUACAUUCAAAUUGAUAUUACCCUAAACAGAACAAAAGAAAACUAAAUGAAACGUAGUCCUUUCACUCCAGUCGCGCCAUUCUACCGAAGACAGAUCGGAAAAGGUCUCCGAACCCUCGCUCUUGCUCCGAUUGCGACAGAGAGAACCGGGAUUCGGCCCUAAGGUACGGAGAGCAGAGUCAGGUGCGUAGGGAGGUGGGUGGCGCGGCUCGGCUCGGAGGCGGCUGAGGCUUGGCACGAGCGAACGAGGAGAGCCGCUGCGGCGCUGAGGCGUACGGCUAGGGUUCCAAGGGCUAUCGGGCUGGUUACUUGGGCUUCUAUAAUCGGGCUUAGGGACAUGGGCCAUUGUAAAAAUUGGGCUUAUUAGUUUUGUAAUCUGGACACUAUGGUUUUUUGGACUAUUUUUAUUUUAUUAUUUUAUUAUAGGACCGGGCAAUAUUGGGCCAUUACAGUGUUCAAAUUGACUGGAAGUGUCACAUAUGCUUUAGUUCGACUUCA